GCUUUUCCAAAAAAAAUGCGGCUGGAUCACCUCCUAGAGUUUGAUCCUGGCUCAGGACGAACGCUGGCGGCGUGCCUAAUACAUGCAAGUAGAACGCACAGUUUAUACCGUAGCUUGCUACACCAUAGACUGUGAGUUGCGAACGGGUGAGUAACGCGUAGGUAACCUGCCUGGUAGCGGGGGAUAACUAUUGGAAACGAUAGCUAAUACCGCAUAAUAUUAAUUAUUGCAUGAUAAUUGAUUAAAAGGUGCAAUCGCACCACUACCAGAUGGACCUGCGUUGUAUUAGCUAGUAGGUGAGGUAACGGCUCACCUAGGCGACGAUACAUAGCCGACCUGAGAGGGUGAUCGGCCACACUGGGACUGAGACACGGCCCAGACUCCUACGGGAGGCAGCAGUAGGGAAUCUUCGGCAAUGGACGAAAGUCUGACCGAGCAACGCCGCGUGAGUGAAGAAGGUUUUCGGAUCGUAAAGCUCUGUUGUAAGAGAAGAACGGGUGUGAGAGUGGAAAGUUCACACUGUGACGG
rnacentral:rRNA from 1 species